UCUUUCAAAUGGGAAAGCUGGGGUCCACAAAGGUUUCAUUCAAGCAACAGAAACUAACAACUGACCCCAAUGUCUCAAACAUAGGCUCAGACUCCUAACACAGCUGGGGAGAGCCCGGCGUGGUCACGUGCUUCCAGCAAUGAAUGUGGACCAUCUGGAUACAGACUCUCUACAGCUGUUUAGAUCCGGGACUCUCUCCUACAGCAGAGGCAGCCUGUCAGUGCACCUGAACUGCCGCUGCGCACGUUGCAUACGUAACAUAACGUAACGUAACGUAAUGUAACGUACUCUGUGAGACCAGGACAAUGGAUUACAUUAAAGAAGGAAAAUGUGAAGACUGAAAAUGCUUCUCUGAUGAGAAAGCAGCCACCUAGAUCCCACGAGCUCAUGUUACCGUAAUAUUUACUAAUAGGACUCUGACAAUGCCUGGCGCAUAACAGUUCCUGGUAGACAGGGUCACUGACAGGUGUCACAAAGUCUGGUUGGUGGCUUACAGGCAUGACACAACAGGAACAUUCGAAGCAGGAGUGGACGAGAAAACGGCAGAUCUGUCCGCUGUGAUGACGGGAUUACCUAACUCGGUGACCAGACACCUUGGUGUCCCUCCCUUUACGCGUCUCCAGCUCGCUGUCUACCAGCCUCUCCCAAGUCUACCAUUGUUUUUACAUGGAGGAUGAACUGGAAGUUGAUUUUUUUUAAUUAGGCCAAGAAAAAUAACAGAGAAUCUUUGGAAGGAGACAGAAACCGAAUUAAACAAGGCUCCAUUCUGAAGAUGUUCUCAGCUCUCAGAUCCCACAAUCACAAAGCGUCCAAAGAGAAAAGACAACUGGUCGAGGAUGGACUUCAUUCUCCCAGUACUUAUAACAAAGAGCUCAGACUCGCCUCUUACUGGUGCUUCGUCGUAUUAGAGCAAGUGACUCUGUAGACGUGCUCUGUUCACCUGCUUUCCCUGCUUGCUUCAGCUCACUCCCCAUCACCUAUGCACAUCCACUUUCCACAGCAGGAUGCAGUCAAGGACCACAUAAAGGAAGAUUUCUACUUGACUUUGCCAGAAGUGGGGCGGUUCUAAAGUUCAACACAAAUGCUGGGCUGGAAGCCGUCCUGAUAACAUAGGUGUUUCUCUCAUAUUCAAGUCUAGCAAUAGAAGAAAGAAUUGCAGCUCAAAGUGUCUCUGAGGGCAGAAAAAAAAUCAAUAUAUGAAAUAAAAUUCAUGAAAAUUUUAUUCCCUGAAAGGAAAUUUGUGUAACUCUCUGGAAAAAUCUAACAUGUUUUUAAAGGUAUGCACACAACUGGGAUAGGCAGAUGUUCCAUUAAUGUA
rnacentral:lncRNA from 1 species